AGAGCACAGGCCCUAGGGUGAGCGUCACUGCAGCUCACGGGCUUAGCUGCCCUGAGGCAUGUGGGAUCUUCCUGGACCAGGGUUCGAAACCAUACCCCUGCAGGUGGAAGAGUCACCGGUCUGUUCUCAAUUACUCUGCGGCCCUGCUCUCUGCUUUCUACAGCUCAUUUGUGAAGGAACAUUUGCCCUGGAGCUGGGGACACGUGGGCGUCCAACACCUUCACUCUAGAAGGCUCUGUGGCCUCGAAGAUCAUGCAACUUCUGGAUUCAGACUUCUUCGCCUCACCCAUAAACCACAGACGUCUUCCUAACCAGGCUGGGCCUGAGAUGAGGGCGGAGAGAGAAAGAGAGCAGCGGGUUUUCGUUCUGCCUCUCCCGCGCCACUCGAUGGUGGCCUGAAAUCGCAGCCGUCAGCCUUGGAGAGCGUCCCUCCGACUUGCAAGCGUAGCGGGGUUCAGAGCCUCAGUCACCUGGACGGCUGGCUUCUGAGUCCUCAGCGCCUCACCACCUCGCGGAGGU
ensembl:lncRNA